rnacentral:rRNA from 1 species
GUGUAGAUGUUCUGGGCCGCACGCGCGCUACACUGACAGAGCCAGCGAGUACAUCACCUUGGCUGAAAGGUCUGGGUAAUCUUGUGAAACUCU